UCCAGACUCCUACGGGAGGCAGCAGUGGGGGAUAUUGCACAAUGGGGGGAACCCUGAUGCAGCGACGCCGCGUGGGUGAAGGAGCGUUUCGGCGCGUAAAGCCCUAUCGGCAGGGAAGAAGGAGGACGGUACCUGACUAAGAAGCCCCGGCUAACUACGUGCCAGCAGCCGCGGUAAUACGUAGGGGGCAAGCGUUAUCCGGAUUUACUGGGUGUAAAGGGGGCGCAGACGGCAGCGCAAGCCAGGAGUGAAAGCCCGGGGCCCAACCCCGGGACUGCUCUUGGAACUGCGCGGCUGGAGUGCAGGAGGGGCAGGCGGAAUUCCUGGUGUAGCGGUGAAAUGCGUAGAUAUCAGGAGGAACACCGGUGGCGAAGGCGGCCUGCUGGACUGCGACUGACGUUGAGGCCCGAAAGCGUGGGGAGCAAACAGGAUUAGAUCCCCCUGUA
rnacentral:rRNA from 1 species